rnacentral:rRNA from 1 species
UACGUAGGGUGCAAGCGUUAAUCGGAAUUACUGGGCGUAAAGGGUUCGUAGGUGGCCAACUCAGUCAGACGUGAAAUCCCUCAGCUCAACUGGGGAACUGCGUCUGAUACUAGUUGGCUUGAGUGCAGGAGAGGAACGCGGAAUUCCAGGUGUAGCGGUGAAAUGCGUAGAUAUCUGGAGGAACACCGGUGGCGAAGGCGGCGUUCUGGACUGCAACUGACACUGAGGAACGAAAGCCAGGGGAGCAAACGGG